UGUAGUGGCACUGGCUAAACUUGGUAAAGCUCUUCUGUUUGGUGAUUGAAGAUCUGGCACGAUCCGGCAUGGGUGUGCCCAUGUAUUCCUGUAUUUCAAGAGUCGUCCCUGCAUGACCUGAUCCAAGUCGACGCGCUCAUAGGCAUCUCUUUCAUCGUCAAGUUCGGUCCCACUGCAAUAUUUCAAGGAUACCUUUUUUACCUUGACAAGAUCAUGAAAACCUGCAUACCUCUAAAGAUCAAGCCAAUGCACAAAAAGUGUUACAAUGUACGUACUUUACGUCAUCUUUGCUAUUCCACGUUGACUUCAUUGUUCGUCAUGAUCUCGCGCUCGAGUUCCGUUUUGAGGGAUGAAGUAACUAGAGUGGAACACACCUUUUUUUGACCAAGGUCCAAUAGUGAACAAAGUCAUUUGCUCCUCAUCUAUCGGAAUGCCGCUGAAUCAGUUCAAGCACUAGACUUUGUGAAGGACAUCCCUUCCGUUGCCCCAACGAGACGUGAGAAACGCAAGCUAAAUCGUUGUCUUUAUUGGGGGACACAAUAGCUAUCUGGGACAGCAAUGGCGACAAACUCUCGUCGAGGCACCUGAAGAGCCAAGUUCCCUCGUUGCGUCCAUGCGUGCUGUCCAUACUCGAGUAGGUCGUCCCAGUAAGUGAAAUCAUACCCAGAUCCUCCCAUGAUCCCAAAGGUAUUGCCGAUGGUGACAGCUUGGGGAUAGAACAUGGCUUUCGUGGUAUCAGGUGCCGAGUGCCACUUCCCAUGACUCACGGAGUACACCUCUGCAGUGCCGUACCCAUCUCCACCCACCGCCACCACCUCCUUUUUACCGUGCUGAUCCUCAAACACGUCACAAGCAUGGCCAUAGCGCUUGUACUCCAUUUCUCCAUUGUCAAUCCAAUUUCCUGCUUCAAAGCUGGAUAGGUCCAAUCUGUAGGUAGCUUUGGAGGCUGAAAGAAUGGGACAGACACAAUUCCACGCUUGAAGGCCCAAUCGUUACUCUCGCAACCUCUCCUACAUAGGAUUAAUUCUGCCCAAGAAGGGUGCCCACGGAGCCCGAAAGCUGUGCGAAACAAGAAGCUACUCACAAUAGGUGGCUUCCCCUCCGAUCAAAUAGAUCUGUCCAUCCAUCAAAGCCAUGCAGUGGCUAUGAGAAGGCUCGGGCAGAUCUGGACCACGCCUGACCGUUCCAUCAGCCGAGAGGAUCUCUGUUGUCUUUGUGUAUCCGGGAACCAAUCCGUCAACCUGAUCUGU